rnacentral:rRNA from 1 species
AUGGCCUCGACAGAGCAAGAGCACGGCGAGAAGCUGCGGAUCCUGAUCGUGCCCUUCUUCGCCACCAGCCACAUCGGCCCCCACACCGACCUCGCCGUCCGCCUCGCCGCGGCCAGGCCGGGCACCGUCGAGCCUACGGUGGCGGUCACCCCGGCCAACGCCUCGGUCGUUCGGUCGGUGCUCGAGCGGCACGGCCCCUCCGUGGCAAGCCUAGCCGUCCGGAUAGCCACCUACCCUUUCCCGGAGGUGGGCGGCCUCCCACCGGGCGUGGAGAACCUCUCCGCCACCGGGGCCGACACGUGGCGCAUCGAGGCCGCGGCCAUCGACGAGGCGCUGACGCGGCCCGCGCAGGAGGCGCUCGUCAGGGAGCUGUCCCCUGACGCCGUCUUCACCGACGUCCACUUCUUCUGGAACUCCAUCAUCGCCGGCGAGCUCGGCGUGCCGUGCAUUACGUUCAGUGUCAUUGGACCCUUCUCGAACCUUGUGAUGCACCACCUCGGCGGUACAGUCGACGCCGACUCGGAUUGCCAGGAGGUGACUGUACCAAAUUUUCCAGGCCCGGAGAUACGGAUCCCGAGAGCCGAACUGCCGGAUUUCUUGAGGUGCCAGGAGAAAGACCACGGGUUCAGCAGCCCGAUCAUGGCGGGGCAAGCCAGGUGCUUCGGCGUAGUAGUCAACACGUUCAUGGACCUGGAGAGCCAGUACUGCGAGCUGUACGCGCGCCUCGGCCACGUGAAGCGCGCCUACUUCGUCGGGCCAGUGUCGCUGCCGUUGCCACCGGCCGGGGCAAGCGCCGGUGAGUCACCAUGCAUCCGUUGGCUGGGCUCGAAGCCCAGAUGCUCGGUGGUGUACGUAUGCUUCGGCACCUACGCCUCCAUCUCUGGAGAUCAGCUCCGGGAGCUGGCUCUUGGACUGGAAUCCUCCGGCAAGCCGUUCCUGUGGGUGCUGAGGGCCGAGGGGUGGGAGCCGCCGGCGGGGUGGGAGGAGCGUGUCGGGAAGAGGGGGAUGCUCGUCAGAGGGUGGGCCCCGCAGACCGCGAUCCUGGCUCAUCCGGCCGUGGGGGCGUUCCUGACGCACUGCGGGUCGAGCUCGCUGCUGGAGGCGGCGGCGGCCGGCGUGCCGAUGCUGACGUGGCCGCUGGUGUUCGACCAGUUCAUCGAGGAGAGGCUGGUCACGGACGUUCUCAAGAUUGGCGAGAGGGUGUGGGACGGGCCACGGAGCACGAAGGAGGAGGAGAGGGAGAUGGUGCCGGCGGCGGCGGUGGCGCGGGCUGUGGCGAGAUUCUUGGAGCCAGGCGGAACGGGGGAGGCGGCGAGGGGCAGAGCGCAGGAGCUCGCCGUGAAGGCUCGGGUGGCCGUGUCGGAAGGCGGGUGGUCGUCCUGUGAUCUGCGCAGGCUUAUCGACGACCUGAUGGAAACAAGGGAGGCCGUCGCCGGCGGCGACACUACUACGUCGCGCGCUGAGAUGUAG